GCAAGUAUAAUCAGCUACUUGGUGCGUGAGCACACCCUUGGUAAGGGUGAGGUCGAGAGUUCAAUCCUCUCUCACAGCACCA
rnacentral:tRNA from 1 species